UACGUAGGGUGCGAGCGUUGUCCAGAAUUAUUGGGCGUAAAGAGCGUGUAGGCGGUCUGGUAGGUCCGUUGUGAAAACUCGAGCUCAACCUCGAGACGCCGAUGGAAACCCUCAGACUAGAGUCCGGAAGAGGAGAGUGGAAUUCCUGGUGUAGCGGUGAAAUGCAUAGAUACCAUCCAGAACCCCGAUUGCGUAGGCAGCUGACUAGGCUGGUACUGACACUGAGGCACGAAAGCGUGGGGAGCGAACAGG
rnacentral:rRNA from 1 species